rnacentral:misc_RNA from 1 species
UACGAAGGGCCCGAGCGUUAAUCGGAAUCACUGGGCUUAAAGGGUGCGUAGGCGGAGGCAUAAGUGUCUUGUGAAAUCCCACCGCUCAACGGUGGAAUUGCAGGGCAUACUGCGUCUCUUGAGGCCAGUAGGGGCUGUCGGAACUCUAGGUGGAGCGGUGAAAUGCGUAGAUAUCUAGAGGAACGCCAAUGGUGAAGACAGGCAGCUGGGCUGGUUCUGACGCUGAGGCACGAAAGCGUGGGGAGCAAACAGG